GGAGAUGUGGUCGAGUGGCUGAUGGCGCACGCUUGGAAAGCGUGUUCCCGAAAGGGAUCGUGGGUUCGAAUCCCACCGUCUCCG
rnacentral:tRNA from 2 species